GGAUGGAUGGCCGAGUGGUUAAGGCGCUGUGUUCAGGAUUCUUAAGUCAUCAUGGUUAUGCAGAAUCCCUGGGAAUCGCAGUGGGAAACCGCGUGGGUUCGAAUCCCACUCCAUUCA